rnacentral:rRNA from 1 species
AAUCCAUAGGUUAAUGAGGCGAACCGGGGGAACUGAAACAUCUAAGUACCCCGAGGAAAAGAAAUCAACCGAGAUUCCCCCAGUAGCGGCGAGCGAACGGGGAGGAGCCCAGAGCCUGAAUCAGCAUGUGUGUUAGUGGAAGCGUCUGGAAAGGCGCGCGAUACAGGGUGACAGCCCCGUACACAAAAGCGCAUGUGCUGUGAGCUCGAUGAGUAGGGCGGGACACGUGGUAUCCUGUCUGAAUAUGGGGGGACCAUCCUCCAAGGCUAAAUACUCCUGACUGACCGAUAGUGAACCAGUACCGUGAGGGAAAGGCGAAAAGAACCCCGGCGAGGGGAGUGAAAAAGAACCUGAAACCGUGUACGUACAAGCAGUGGGAGCCCCACCACCAAAGCAUUUGCUGUACCGCGUUGACGGAGCGAAGCGACGUCAAACCGAUAAAACAGCAGUGUAAAGUGAGCCGCAGGGCGCUUUGCGCGACAGCGCAAAGGCAGGCGGUUUCGCGUAGCGAAAGCGAAUGCUUUGGGGUGGGGUGACUGCGUACCUUUUGUAUAAUGGGUCAGCGACUUAUAUUCUGUAGCAAGGUUAACCGAAUAGGGGAGCCGGAGGGAAACCGAGUCUUAAUUGGGCGUUAAGUUGCAGGGUAUAGACCCGAAACCCGGUGAUCUAGCCAUGGGCAGGUUGAAGGUUGGGUAACACUAACUGGAGGACCGAACCGACUAAUGUUGAAAAAUUAGCGGAUGACCUGUGGCUGGGGGUGAAAGGCCAAUCAAACCGGGAGAUAGCUGGUUCUCCCCGAAAGCUAUUUAGGUAGCGCCUCGUGAAUUCAUCUCCGGGGGUAGAGCACUGUUUCGGCUAGGGGGCCAUCCCGGCUUACCAACCCGAUGCAAACUGCGAAUACCGGAGAAUGUUAUCACGGGAGACACACGGCGGGUGCUAACGUCCGUCGUGAAGAGGGAAACAACCCAGACCGCCAGCUAAGGUCCCAAAGUCAUGGUUAAGUGGGAAACGAUGUGGGAAGGCCCAGACAGCCAGGAUGUUGGCUUAGAAGCAGCCAUCAUUUAAAGAAAGCGUAAUAGCUCACUGGUCGAGUCGGCCUGCGCGGAAGAUGUAACGGGGCUAAACCAUGCACCGAAGCUGCGGCAGCGACGCUUAUGCGUUGUUGGGUAGGGGAGCGUUCUGUAAGCCUGCGAAGGUGGCCUGUGAGGGUUGCUGGAGGUAUCAGAAGUGCGAAUGCUGACAUAAGUAACGAUAAAGCGGGUGAAAAGCCCGCUCGCCGGAAGACCAAGGGUUCCUGUCCAACGUUAAUCGGGGCAGGGUGAGUCGACCCCUAAGGCGAGGCCGAAAGGCGUAGUCGAUGGGAAACGGGUUAAUAUUCCCGUACUUGGUGUUACUGCGAAGGGGGGACGGAGAAGGCUAUGUUGGCCGGGCGACGGUUGUCCCGGUUUAAGCGUGUAGGUGUGUGUUCCAGGUAAAUCCGGUUCACUUUAACACUGAGGCGUGACGACGAGGCACUACGGUGCUGAAGCAACAAAUGCCCUGCUUCCAGGAAAAGCCUCUAAGCAUCAGGUAACAUCAAAUCGUACCCCAAACCGACACAGGUGGUCAGGUAGAGAAUACCAAGGCGCUUGAGAGAACUCGGGUGAAGGAACUAGGCAAAAUGGUGCCGUAACUUCGGGAGAAGGCACGCUGACACGUAGGUGAAGUGAUUUACUCAUGGAGCUGAAGUCAGUCGAAGAUACCAGCUGGCUGCAACUGUUUAUUAAAAACACAGCACUGUGCAAACACGAAAGUGGACGUAUACGGUGUGACGCCUGCCCGGUGCCGGAAGGUUAAUUGAUGGGGUCAGCGCAAGCGAAGCUCCUGAUCGAAGCCCCGGUAAACGGCGGCCGUAACUAUAACGGUCCUAAGGUAGCGAAAUUCCUUGUCGGGUAAGUUCCGACCUGCACGAAUGGCGUAAUGAUGGCCAGGCUGUCUCCACCCGAGACUCAGUGAAAUUGAACUCGCUGUGAAGAUGCAGUGUACCCGCGGCAAGACGGAAAGACCCCGUGAACCUUUACUAUAGCUUGACACUGAACAUUGAGCCUUGAUGUGUAGGAUAGGUGGGAGGCUUUGAAGUGUGGACGCCAGUCUGCAUGGAGCCGACCUUGAAAUACCACCCUUUAAUGUUUGAUGUUCUAACGUGGACCCGUUACCCGGGUUGCGGACAGUGUCUGGUGGGUAGUUUGACUGGGGCGGUCUCCUCCUAAAGAGUAACGGAGGAGCACGAAGGUUGGCUAAUCCUGGUCGGACAUCAGGAGGUUAGUGCAAUGGCAUAAGCCAGCUUGACUGCGAGCGUGACGGCGCGAGCAGGUGCGAAAGCAGGUCAUAGUGAUCCGGUGGUUCUGAAUGGAAGGGCCAUCGCUCAACGGAUAAAAGGUACUCCGGGGAUAACAGGCUGAUACCGCCCAAGAGUUCAUAUCGACGGCGGUGUUUGGCACCUCGAUGUCGGCUCAUCACAUCCUGGGGCUGAAGUAGGUCCCAAGGGUAUGGCUGUUCGCCAUUUAAAGUGGUACGCGAGCUGGGUUUAGAACGUCGUGAGACAGUUCGGUCCCUAUCUGCCGUGGGCGCUGGAGAACUGAGGGGGGCUGCUCCUAGUACGAGAGGACCGGAGUGGACGCAUCACUGGUGUUCGGGUUGUCAUGCCAAUGGCACUGCCCGGUAGCUAAAUGCGGAAGAGAUAAGUGCUGAAAGCAUCUAAGCACGAAACUUGCCCCGAGAUGAGUUCUCCCUGAGACUUAAAGUCUCCUGAAGGAACGUUGAAGACGACGACGUUGAUAGGCCGGGUGUGUAAGCGCAGCGAUGCGUUGAGCUAACCGGUACUAAUGAACCGUGAGGCUUAACCUUACAACGCCGAAG